AUACUUACCUGACGCGAGAGGCACCUUGAUCAACUAGGAGGUCCUCUCAGGAUGAGGCCCUUUCAUUGCACUUCGACUGGGUUGACUCCUGCGAUUACCCCUAAUGUGGGUAACUCGAGCGUAUAAUUUCUGGUAGUGGGGACCUGCGUUCGCGCUCUUCCCCU
rnacentral:snRNA from 1 species